UUCCUCUACAUUUUACACCAAAAGCCAGUACUUUGGUUCAGAAUGGUUUAAAAGAGGCGUCCAAAGAAUGAUCCCACCCACUGCUCAACUACCACCCCUGUUUGUUACAGACCCGAUGCCCUUGGCUGAUGGAGGAACUGCAUCUGGAGGACGACCAUGAAUCUACCUGCCAACAGGUGGUACUGGUUUGCACUGGUUUGCAUGAACUGAACAUGGUGGACAUGAGGCAAAUCCCCUGCUGUUUGCUCCAGACCAGGACUGGGUGAUGGAGGGGUGGUGAUGGAGCCGUGCUGAGGACCCGCUGGUGAAGGACGUCCCUCGUGGGGGGGCAAGGACAGCCGACCCUGAGUGAUCUCUGCAGCGUGGUCGGUGGGAGGAGAUGUGGCCGAGCUGUUGAACCAGGCUCUAUCGGUGUCAGGAUGCGUUGGUGGAGGAGGAGGACUGAUGGAGGAGAGCCGACGGAGCCAUGGUGGACGAGAGCCGACGGAGCCAUGGUGGACGAGAGCCGACGGAGCCAUGGUGGACGAGAGCCGACGGCGCCAUGGUGGACGAGAGCCGACGGAGGAGCCGUGGUGGAGGUCCUGCCUUAAGAAUGAUGUCGGGGUGAAUGCAGCCAGUCUCUAAAUUGAUUAUCACUCACUGCUACUGAACAGUUUCUGUUCUAAAAUCGGUUACUUCAGCCGUCAUCUAAUAUGGCAGAUUUAGAGAAAACAGUCCUUGGCUUAAUGGAGCCAUCGGUGAAGUUUUAUUGAGACUCUAACCCCUCAAUGUGAAGGCUAGAGUCUACGCUACUGGUACAAGAAUUCUACAAGUUUUAUCAUUUGUUUUAAAUAUUGAGUUUCA